GACGAACGCUGGCGGCGUGCUUAAUACAUGCAAGUCAACUGAACUUAAGGUAGCAAUAUUUUAAGGGAGGUGGCGCACGGUGAGUAACACGUAGGUAAUCUGCCUUUAGGUCUGACACAACCUACCGAAAGGUAGGCUAAUAUCAGAUGAUGCAGCGGCUCGACAUCGAGACAGUUGUUAAACCUUCGGGGCCUAAAGAUGAGCCUGCGUCUGAUUAGGUAGUUGGCGGAGUAAUAGCCCACCAAGCCUGCGAUCAGUAGCUGGUCUGAGAGGAUGAUCAGCCACACUGGAACUGAGACACGGUCCAGACUCCUACGGGAGGCAGCAGUAAGGAAUAAUUGCUCAAUGGCCGAAAGGCUGAAG
rnacentral:rRNA from 1 species